rnacentral:rRNA from 1 species
UACAGAGGGUGCGAGCGUUAAUCGGAAUUACUGGGCGUAAAGCGCGCGUAGGCGGCUUUGCAAGUCGGGUGUGAAAUCCCCAGGCUUAACCUGGGAACUGCAUUCGAGACUGCAUUGCUAGAGUAUGGGAGAGGGAAGUGGAAUUUCCGGUGUAGCGGUGAAAUGCGUAGAUAUCGGAAGGAACAUCAGUGGCGAAAGCGACUUCCUGGACCAAUACUGACGCUCAUGUGCGAAAGCCAGGGGAGCAAACGGG